rnacentral:ncRNA from 1 species
CGGCCGUAACUAUAACGGUCCUAAGGUAGCGAAAUUCCUUGUCGGGUAAGUUCCGACCUGCACGAAUGGCGUAAUGAUGGCCACGCUGUCUCCACCCGAGACUCAGUGAAAUUGAAAUCGCAGUGAAGAUGCUGUGUACCCGCGGCUAGACGGAAAGACCCCGUGAACCUUUACUAUAGCUUUACACUGGAUGCUGAUGUUGUCUGUGUAGGAUAGCUGGGAGGCUUUGAAACCGCGUCGCCAGAUGCGGUGGAGCCAAUCUUGAAAUACCAGCCUGACAUCAUUGGCGUUCUAACUCAGGUCCGUUAUCCGGAUCGAGGACAGUGUAUGGUGGGUAGUUUGACUGGGGCGGUCUCCUCCUAAAGAGUAACGGAGGAGCACGAAGGUACCCUCAGCACGGUUGGAAAUCGUGCAUUGAGUGCAAGAGCAUAAGGGUGCUUGACUGCGAGACAGACACGUCGAGCAGGUACGAAAGUAGGUUCUAGUGAUCCGGUGGUUCUGUAUGGAA